rnacentral:sRNA from 1 species
CUUCCUCAGAGUGAAGAUACACAACAGCAAAUCAUCAGGGAGACUUUCCAUUUGGUAUCUAAGAGAGAUGAAAAUGUUUGUAAUUUCCUAGAAGGAGGAUUAUUAAUUGGAGGAUCUGACAACAAACUGAUUUAUAGACAUUAUGCAACGUUAUAUUUUGUCUUCUGUGUGGAUUCUUCAGAAAGUGAACUUGGCAUUUUAGAUCUAAUUCAAGUAUUUGUGGAAACAUUAGACAAAUGUUUUGAAAAUGUCUGUGAGCUGGAUUUGAUUUUCCAUGUAGACAAGGUAC